rnacentral:rRNA from 1 species
CAUCGUAAAUUUAUCACUGUUAAUGUGCCCUAUCUCGUCGGUUCUUGGAAGCUAAGCAGGGUUGACUUUGGUCAAUACCUGGAUGGCAGGCGUCCACUGAAUACCAGCUGUUGUAGGC